rnacentral:rRNA from 1 species
UACGGGGGGAGCAAGCGUUGUUCGGAUUUACUGGGCGUAAAGGGCGCGUAGGCGGUCAGCACAAGUCAGUUGUGAAAUCUCCGGGCUUAACUCGGAAAUGGCAUUGGAUACUAUUCGGCUAGAGGUUUGGAGGGGGGACUGGAAUUCUCGGUGUAGCAGUGAAAUGCGUAGAUAUCGAGAGGAACACCAGUGGCGAAGGCGAGUCCCUGGACAACUCCUGACGCUGAGGCACGAAAGCUAGGGGAGCAAACAGG